rnacentral:tRNA from 1 species
GGGGGCAUAGCUCAGUGGUAGAGUGCAUGCUUAGCAUGCAUGAAGUCUUGGGUUCAAUCCUCAGUACUUCCU